GAUGAACGCUGGCGGCGUGCCUAAUACAUGCAAGUCGAGCGAACAGACGAGGAGCUUGCUCCUCUGACGUUAGCGGCGGACGGGUGAGUAACACGUGGAUAACCUACCUAUAAGACUGGGAUAACUUCGGGAAACCGGAGCUAAUACCGGAUAAUAUAUUGAACCGCAUGGUUCAAUAGUGAAAGACGGUUUUGCUGUCACUUAUAGAUGGAUCCGCGCCGCAUUAGCUAGUUGGUAAGGUAACAGCUUACCAAGGCAACGAUGCGUAGCCGACCUGAGAGGGUGAUCGGCCACACUGGAACUGAGACACGGUCCAGACUCCUACGGGAGGCAGCAGUAGGGAAUCUGCCGCAAUGGGCGAAAGCCUGACGGAGCAACGCCGCGUGAGGGAUGAAGGUCUUCGGAUCGUAAAACUCUGUUAUUAGGGAAGAACAAAUGUGUAAGUAACUAUGCACGUCUUGACGGUACCUAAUCAGAAAGCCACGGCUAACUACG
rnacentral:rRNA from 1 species